GGACCCGCACAAGCGGUGGAGCAUGUGGUUUAAUUCGAUGCAACGCAGAAAACCUUACCUACUCUUGACAUACUUGGGAGCUCUUGUAAUGAGAGUGUGCCUUUUGGAACCAAGAUACAGGUGCUGCAUGGCUGUCGUCAGCUCGUGUCGUGAGAUGUUCCGUUAAGUCGGAUAACGAGCGCAACCCUUACCCUUAUUUGCCAGCGAUUCGGUCGGGAACUAUAAGGGGACUGCCGGUGAUAAACCGGAGGAAGGUGAGGACGACGUCAAGUCAUCAUGGCCCUUACGAGUAGGGCUACACACGUGCUACAAUGGCCGGUACAGAGAGCAGCCACUACGCGAGUAGGAG
rnacentral:rRNA from 1 species